UUUAUAAGUAAGAUAAAUUAAUCUAAAGAGUUGUGGUCUCUAAUAUCCAUUUUUUUUAUUGGCUGUAAAA
rnacentral:tRNA from 1 species